CGGACGGGUGAGUAACGCGUGAGUAACCUGCCUUUCAGAGGGGGAGUAACGUUCUGAAAAGAAACGCUAAUACCGCAUAACAUCAAUUUAUCGCAUGAUAGGUUGAUCAAAGGAGCAAUCCGCUGGAAGAUGGACUCGCGUCCGAUUAGCCAGUUGGCGGGGUAACGGCCCACCAAAGCGACGAUCGGUAGCCGGACUGAGAGGUUGAACGGCCACAUUGGGACUGAGACACGGCCCAGACUCCUACGGGAGGCAGCAUG
rnacentral:rRNA from 1 species